rnacentral:rRNA from 1 species
AUUGAACGCUGGCGGCAUGCCUUACACAUGCAAGUCGAACGGUAACAGGUCUUCGGAUGCUGACGAGUGGCGAACGGGUGAGUAAUACAUCGGAACGUGCCCGAUCGUGGGGGAUAACGAAGCGAAAGCUUUGCUAAUACCGCAUAAGAUCUACGGAUGAAAGCAGGGGACCGCAAGGCCUUGCGCGAACGGAGCGGCCGAUGGCAGUUUAGGUAGGUGGUGGGAUAAAAGCUUACCAAGCCGACGAUCUGUAGCUGGUCUGAGAGGACGACCAGCCACACUGGGACUGAGACACGGCCCAGACUCCUACGGGAGGCAGCAGUGGGGAGUUUUGGACAAUGGGCGAAAGCCUGAUCCAGCCAUGCCGCGUGCAGGAUGAAGGCCUUCGGGUUGUAAACUGCUUUUGUACGGAACGAAAAGACUCUUUCUAAUAAAGAGGGUCCAUGACGGUACCGUAAGAAUAAGCACCGGCUAACUACGUGCCAGCAGCCGCAGUAAGAC